GAUGAACGCUGGCGGCGUGCCUAAUACAUGCAAGUCGAGCGAACGGACGAGAAGCUUGCUUCUCUGAUGUUAGCGGCGGACGGGUGAGUAACACGUGGAUAACCUACCUAUAAGACUGGGAUAACUUCGGGAAACCGGAGCUAAUACCGGAUAAUAUUUUGAACCGCAUGGUUCAAAAGUGAAAGACGGUCUUGCUGUCACUUAUAGAUGGAUCCGCGCUGCAUUAGCUAGUUGGUAAGGUAACGGCUUACCAAGGCAACGAUGCAUAGCCGACCUGUGAGGGUGAUCGGGCACACUGUAUCUGGGAGUCGGUCCAGAUUCCUACGGGAUGCAGCAGUAGGGAAUCUUGCGCAAUGGGCGAAAGCCGGACGGAGCAACGCCGCGUGAGUGAUGAAGGUCUUCGGAUCGUAAAACUCUGUUAUUAGGGAAGAACAUAUGUGUAAGUAACCGUGCACAGCUUGACGGUACCUAAUCAGAAAGCCACGGCUAACUACGUG
rnacentral:rRNA from 1 species